rnacentral:rRNA from 2 species
GUCUUAAUUGGGCGUUAAGUUGCAGGGUAUAGACCCGAAACCCGGUGAUCUAGCCAUGGGCAGGUUGAAGGUUGGGUAACACUAACUGGAGGACCGAACCGACUAAUGUUGAAAAAUUAGCGGAUGACCUGUGGCUGGGGGUGAAAGGCCAAUCAAACCGGGAGAUAGCUGGUUCUCCCCGAAAGCUAUUUAGGUAGCGCCUCGUGAAUUCAUCUCCGGGGGUAGAGCACUGUUUCGGCUAGGGGGCCAUCCCGGCUUACCAACCCGAUGCAAACUGCGAAUACCGGAGAAUGUUAUCACGGGAGACACACGGCGGGUGCUAACGUCCGUCGUGAAGAGGGAAACAACCCAGACCGCCAGCUAAGGUCCCAAAGUCAUGGUUAAGUGGGAAACGAUGUGGGAAGGCCCAGACAGCCAGGAUGUUGGCUUAGAAGCAGCCAUCAUUUAAAGAAAGCGUAAUAGCUCACUGGUCGAGUCGGCCUGCGCGGAAGAUGUAACGGGGCUAAACCAUGCACCGAAGCUGCGGCAGCGAACGUAUCACUUAAAGCGAUUCAGCGGGUUACGAUUGACGGAGCGAAGCGACGUCAAAGCGUAUACAAAGUCGAGUCGGUUUAAGGAUACGUUCGUUGGGUAGGGGAGCGUUCUGUAAGCCUGUGAAGGUGUGUCGUGAGGCAUGCUGGAGGUAUCAGAAGUGCGAAUGCUGACAUAAGUAACGAUAAAGCGGGUGAAAAGCCCGCUCGCCGGAAGACCAAGGGUUCCUGUCCAACGUUAAUCGGGGCAGGGUGAGUCGACCCCUAAGGCGAGGCCGAAAGGCGUAGUCGAUGGGAAACGGGUUAAUAUUCCCGUACUUGGUGUUACUGCGAAGGGGGGACGGAGAAGGCUAUGUUGGCCGGGCGACGGUUGUCCCGGUUUAAGCGUGUAGGUGUGUGUUCCAGGUAAAUCCGGUUCACUUUAACACUGAGGCGUGAUGACGAGGCACUACGGUGCUGAAGCAACAAAUGCCCUGCUUCCAGGAAAAGCCUCUAAGCAUCAGGUAACAUCAAAUCGUACCCCAAACCGACACAGGUGGUCAGGUAGAGAAUACCAAGGCGCUUGAGAGAACUCGGGUGAAGGAACUAGGCAAAAUGGUGCCGUAACU